rnacentral:rRNA from 1 species
UGAAUACGAGAUGCUACGGCGUCGAAGCAGUGUAUGUCAGACUUCCAAGAAAAGCUCGCAAUGUCAUAAAUAAAGAAUGCCUGUACCAUAACCGACACAGGUGGGUAGGUAGAGUAUACUAAGGGGCGCGAGAUAACUCUCUCUAAGGAACUCGGCAAAAUAACUCCGUAACUUCGGGAGAAGGAGUGCCUUCUUUAAGAAGGUUGCAAUAACAAGAUCCAAGCAACUGUUUAUCAAAAACACAGGUCUCCGCUAAGUCGUAAGACGAUGUAUGGGGGCUGACGCCUGCCCAGUGCCAGAAGGUUAAAGAAGCUGGUUAGCAAUAGCGAAGCUGGUGACUGAAGCCCUGGUGAACGGCGGCCGUAACGAUAACGGUCCUAAGGUAGCGAAAUUCCUUGUCGGGUAAGUUCCGACCCGCACGAAAGGCGUAAUGAUUUGGAUACUGUCUCGGAGAGGGACUCGGUGAAAUAGACUUGUCUGUGAAGAUGCGGACUACCUGCACCAGGACAGAAAGACCCUAUGAAGCUUUACUGUAACCUGAAAUUGAAAUUGGACUUUAUUUGCGCAGUAUAGGUGGGAGGCGUUGAAAGUAAUCUUGCGGGAUUAGUGGAGCCAUCAGUGAGAUACCACUCCUAUAAUGUUAGAUUUCUAACUUUGGAUCAUGAUCUGGUCAAAGAACAGUUUCAGGCGGGCAGUUUGACUGGGGCGGUCGCCUCCCAAAUGGUAACGGAGGCGUACAAAGGUUUCCUCUGAACGGGUAGAAAUCGUAUCUAGAGUGUAAAGGCAUAAGGAAGCUUGACUGUGAGACCUACAAGUCGAGCAGGGACGAAAGUCGGUCUUAGUGAUCUGACGGUGCUGAGUGGAAAGGCCGUCACUCAACGGAUAAAAGUUACUCUAAGGAUAACAGGCUGAUCUCCCCCAAGAGUUCACAUCGACGGGGAGGUUUGGCACCUCGAUGUCGGCUCAUCGCAUCCUGGGGCGGUAGUACGUCCCAAGGGUUGGGCUGUUCGCCCAUGAAAGCGGUACGCGAGCUGGGUUCAGAACGUCGUGAGACAGUUCGGUCCAUAUCCGGUGUAGGCGUUAGAAUAUUGAGAGGAGCCUUCUCUAGUACGAGAGGACCGAGAAGGACAUACCUCUGGUGUACCAGUUAUCGUGCCAACGGUAAACGCUGGGUAGCUAUGUAUGGAGAGGAUAACCGCUGAAAGCAUCUAAGUGGGAAGCCCACCUCUAGAUGAGUAUUCUCAU